rnacentral:snRNA from 1 species
AGUUUCAUCUGCGUCUACCGCAG